GAUGAACGCUGGCGGCGUGCCUAAUACAUGCAAGUCGAACGGGGAGAUUGUAGCAAUACUAUCUCCUAGUGGCGAACGGGUGAGUAACGCGUUGGUGACCUACCCCGAAGUGUGGGAUAACAGUUCGAAAGGGCUGCUAAUACCGCAUGUGGUUGGGAAGAUUAGAAGCUUUCCAACGAAAAGAGCAAUCUGCUUCGGGAGGGGCCUGCGACCCAUCAGCUAGUUGGUAGGGUAAAAGCCUACCAAGGCGACGACGGGUAGGGGACCUGAGAGGGUGACCCCCCACACUGGCACUGAAACACGGGCCAGACACCUACGGGUGGCUG
rnacentral:rRNA from 1 species